rnacentral:lncRNA from 1 species
GAGGAGGAGGAGGAGGGUGAGAGAGAAGCUGGGAGAGCAGAGAAAAGGGGCCACCGGUCGCCCCCCCGCUUCCCCGCACGCGCUCUCCAGCCGCGGCCGCCCGCCUGCCGCGGUCACCCCGGCCUCUGCCUCUGUCCCCCAGUGAUCGGAUCAAGGCGCUGAGCGAGGCCCUGCCUGCGGGGCGGCCAUGCGGCGGUGACAGGAGCGCGACCGACACGCACGGGCCCCUCGCCCCCUCUCGCCUCCCGUCCGCUCGCCAGCUCCCCUCAGCCGAGGCUGCUCCGCGGCGGCCGCAGCCCGCGCGCGGCCCACACUCGCCUCCCCUCGGCACCCCCGGCCCCGGAGCUGCCUGGAGGCGGCCGCACUCGGGGAUCAUGGCCCAAGUUGCAAUGUCCACCCUCCCCGUUGAAGAUGAGGAGUCCUCGGAGAGCAGGAUGGUGGUGACAUUCCUCAUGUCAGCUCUCGAGUCCAUGUGUAAAGAACUGGCCAAGUCCAAAGCCGAAGUGGCCUGCAUUGCAGUGUAUGAAACAGACGUGUUUGUCGUCGGAACUGAAAGAGGACGUGCUUUUGUCAAUACCAGAAAGGAUUUUCAAAAAGAUUUUGUAAAAUAUUGU